rnacentral:rRNA from 1 species
UACGAAGGGUGCAAACGUUGCUCGGAAUCAUUGGGCGUAAAGCGCACGUAGGCGGCCCUGUAAGUCGGAUGUGAAAUCCCUCGGCUCAACCGAGGACGUGCAUUCGAAACUGCUUGGCUCGAGUAUGGAAGAGGGUCGCGGAAUUCCCGGUGUAGAGGUGAAAUUCGUAGAUAUCGGGAGGAACACCAGUGGCGAAGGCGGCGACCUGGGCCAAUACUGACGCUGAGGUGCGAAAAGCGUGGGGAGCAAACAGG